CGCGUGAGGGAUGACGGCCUUCGGGUUGUAAACCUCUUUUAGACAGGGACGAAGCGAAAGUGACGGUACCUGCAGAAGAAGCACCGGCUAACUACGUGCCAGCAGCCGCGGUAAUACGUAGGGUGCGAGCGUUGUCCGGAAUUACUGGGCGUAAAGAGCUUGUAGGCGGUCUGUCGCGUCUUCUGUGAAAACUGGGGGCUCAACCUUAAGCUUGCAGGGGAUACGGGCAGACUAGAGUGCUUCAGGGGAGACUGGAAUUCCUGGUGUAGCGGUGAAAUGCGCAGAUAUCAGGAGGAACACCGGUGGCGAAGGCGGGUCUCUGGGAAGUAACUGACGCUGAGAAGCGAAAGCGUGGGUAGCGAACAGGAUUAGAUACCCUGGUAGUCCACGCCGUAAACGGUGGGAACUAGGUGUGGGUUUCCUUCCACGGGAUCCGUGUCGUAGCUAACGCAUUAAGUACCCCGCCUGGGGAGUACGGCCGCAAGGCUAAAACUCAAAGGAAUUGACGGGGGCCCGCACAAGCGGCGGAGCAUGUGGAUUAAUUCGAUGCAACGCGAAGAACCUUACCUGGGCUUGACAUAUACCGGAAACCUGCAGAGAUGUACGCCCCCUUG
rnacentral:rRNA from 1 species